rnacentral:rRNA from 1 species
GACAGAGGGUGCAAACGUUGUUCGGAAUUACUGGGCGUAAAGCGCACGCAGGCGGGUCGUUAAGUCAGGGUGAAAUCCCGAGGCUCAACCUCGGAACUGCCUUUGAUACUGGCGACCUUUGAGUCCGGGAGAGGUGAGUGGAACUCCGAGUGUAGAGGUGAAAUUCGUAGAUAUUCGGAAGAACACCAGUGGCGAAGGCGGCUCACUGGCCCGGUACUGACGCUCAUGUGCGAAAGCGUGGGGAGCAAACAGG